GUGAAUCAUCGAAUUUUUGAACGCAAAUUGCACUUUCCGGUAUUCCGGAAAGUAUGCCUGUUUGAGGGUCAGUUAAAUUAAAAUCGGUGUUGUUGCUGCCCUUAGUGGUGUGUGAUGCAUCGGGAGUGGUUCUGUCUUUACCUUUGGGUUAAGUGACUUAAAAUUAUGUUCUAUUUUUUAACGAAUUGAAAUUAUUACUUACGUUCGUGUUAUAAACU
rnacentral:misc_RNA from 1 species